rnacentral:rRNA from 1 species
UACAUGGGGUGCAAACGUUGCUCGGAAUUAUUGGGCGUAAAGCGCACGUAGGCGGUUCGUUAAGUCGGAUGUGAAAGCCCUCGGCUCAACUGAGGAAGUGCACCCGAAACUGGCGAGCUUGAGUACGAAAGAGGAUCGCGGAAUUCCCGGUGUAGAGGUGAAAUUCGUGAGAUAUCGGGGAGGAACACCGGUGGCGAAGGCGGCGAUCUGGGUCGAUACUGAACGCUGAGGUGGCGAAAAGC